rnacentral:rRNA from 1 species
AUUCCAGCUCCAAUAGCGUAUAUUAAAGUUGUUGCGGUUAAAAAGUUCGUAGUUGGAUUUCUGUGAAGGAUAACCGGUCCGCACUAUGUGCGUGUAUCUGUUUGUCCUUUGCAUCCUCGCGGAAUACGUCACUGUGCUUCACUGCAUGGGGCGGGCUUCGCGACUUUUACUUUGAGGAAAUUAGAGUGUUCACGGCAGGCUCACGCCAUGAAUAUAUUAGCAUGGAAUAAUAAUAUAGGACCUUGGUUCUAUUUUGUUGGUUUCUAGGGCUAAGGUAAUGAUUAAUAGGGACAAUUGGGGGCAUUCGUAUUAACGCGUCAGAGGUGGAAUUCUUGGAUUGCGUUACGACGAACUACUGCGAAAGCAUUUGCCAAGGAUGUUUUCAUCA